UCCAAGUCCCUGUUGGAGUCAGUCAGAGCAUUUCCAUAGAGAGCCACUUUGCAUCAGCAGCACCAUGCUCCAGUGCUCUGGGAGACUUUAUAGUCCUGAGAGUUGAACACUGGAUGACUGACAGCUGUCCUUCAUCACAACAGAAGACACAGAAAUCCUCCUCAUCAAAAACAUGACGUUGAUCUCCGUCCUCAUCUGGACUCUCCUCUGCUGCUGCUUCACAGAGUCCAGAGGACAGGUCACAGUGACUCAGCCUGGAGCAGUGAUCUCUGCUCUGGGACGCUCCGUCUCCAUCAGCUGUACAGUCAGUCAGCAGGUUCUUGGCUCAAACUAUUUGCACUGGUACCAACAGAAAGAUGGAGAAGCUCCUAAACUUCUAAUUUACUUGGCAAAUACUAGAGCAUCAGGGACUCCAGAUCGUUUUUCAGGCAGUGGAUCAGGGACUGACUUCACUUUGACCAUCAGUGGAGUCCAGGCUGAAGAUGCAGCAGUUUACUACUGUCAGAGUCAUCACUCUAUCAACAGUCAAGCUGUGUUCACACAGUGAAAAAGCAUCGUACAA